GGGGGAUAACUAUUGGAAACGAUAGCUAAUACCGCAUGACACUAAAGUACACAUGUACUCAAGUUAAAAGGAGCAAUUGCUUCACUAUGAGAUGGACCUGCGUUGUAUUAGCUAGUUGGUGAGGUAAAGGCUCACCAAGGCGACGAUACAUAGCCGACCUGAGAGGGUGAUCGGCCACACUGGGACUGAGACACGGCCCAUACUCCUACGGGAGGCAGCAGUAGGGAAUCUUCGGCAAUGGACGGAAGUCUGACCGAGCAACGCCGCGUGAGUGAAGAAGGUUUUCGGAUCGUAAAGCUCUGUUGUUAGAGAAGAACGGUAAUGGGAGUGGAAAAUCCAUUACGUGACGGUAACUAACCAGAAAGGGACGGCUAACUACGUGCCAGCAGCCGCGGUAAUACGUAUGUCUCGAGCGUUGUCCGGAUUUAUUGGGCGUAAAGCGAGCGCAGGCGGUUCUAUAAGUCUGAAGUAAAAGGCAGUGGCUCAACCAUUGUAUGCUUUGGAAACUGUAGAACUUGAGUG
rnacentral:rRNA from 1 species